rnacentral:misc_RNA from 1 species
GUCCCACCGAAGACGAUCAUAAGCUUUUCCAAUUCCACUUUAAUUGCCAUAGAAUCUCUCCUCCCAGUCUUUGCUCUCAUAUGAUGAAUUAAUUCCUGAGCAAUAACUACAUUGUUUUUUUUUUUUUUUUUUUUUUUUUUUUUUGAAAUAAGCAAUAACUAUAUUGUUAGUAAUAUGUUGUCUUGCAAUAAAACCUGUCAGGCUCAUCAAACAAGGCA